rnacentral:rRNA from 1 species
CCUACGGGACGCAGCAGUGGGGAAUAUUGCACAAUGGGCGAAAGCCUGAUGCAGCAACGCCGCGUGAAGGAAGACGGUUUUCGGAUUGUAAACUUCUGUUCUUAGUGAAGAAUAAUGACGGUAACUAAGGAGCAAGCCACGGCUAACUACGUGCCAGCAGCCGCGGUAAUACGUAGGGGGCAAGCGUUAUCCGGAUUUACUGGGUGUAAAGGGAGCGUAGACGGCAGUGCAAGUCUGAAGUGAAAGCCGCGGGCUUAACCCGGGAAUUGCUUUGGAAACUGUACGGCUGGAGUGCUGGAGAGGUA